AACGAACGCUGGCGGCAUGCCUAACACAUGCAAGUCGAACGAGACCUUCGGGUCUAGUGGCGCACGGGUGCGUACCGCGUGGGAACCUGCACUUAGGUUCGGAAUAACUCCCCGAAGGGGGUGCUAAUACCGGAUAAUGUCUUCGGACCAAAGAUUUCUCGCCUUUGGGUGGGCCCGCGUUUGUUUAGCGAGUUGGUAGGGUAAAAGCCUACCAAGGCGACGAUCCAUAGCUGGUCGGAGAGGAUGAUCAGCCACGCUGGGACUGCGGCACGGCCCACACGCCUACGCGGGGCAGCAGUGUGGAGCAUUGGACGCUGAGCGAAAGCCUGAUCCAGCAGUGCCGCGUGAGUGAUGAAGGCCUUAGUGUUGUAAUUCUCUUUUUGCCGGGAUGAUAAUGACAGUACCGGGUGAAGAAGCACCGGCUAACUCCGUG
rnacentral:rRNA from 1 species